rnacentral:lncRNA from 1 species
UUGAUUUAGGGUUUAGGAUUUGAUUUAGGAUUUUUUUAGGGUUUGGUUUAGGAUUUAGGAUUUGGUUUAGGAUUUUUUUAGGGUUUGGUUUAGGAUUUAGGAUUUGGUUUAGGAUUUUAGGUUUUGGUUUAGAAUUUAAGAUUUAUUUAGGUUUUGAUUUAGGAUUUAUUUAGAGAUUGGUUAGUGUUUGAUUUAGGGUUGGAUUAGGAUUUACUUUAAGAUUUAGAAUUUGGUUAGGAUUUGAUUUAGGAUUUAGGGUUUAGGAUUUGAUUAGGAUUUUAUUUAAGAUUUAAUAUUUAAUUAGGGUUUGAUUUAGGAUUUAGGAUUUAGAAUUUAGGAUUUGAUUAGGAUUUGAUUUAGGAUUUAAGGUUUAGUUAGGGUUUGAUUUAGGAUUUAGAGUUUGAUUUACGAUUUAGGAUUUGAUUUAGGAUUUAGGAUUUUAUUAGGAUUUAUUUAGGAUUUAAGAUUUAAUUAGUGUUGGCCUAAAGUUUGAAUAAAGUCCAAUGGAAUUUUAAUUAAGAUUAAAUUUAGAUUGAAUUGUGAUGUAUUUGACAUAUAUUUGUGAUCAUUCUAAUAUUUUUUUAA